AACGAACGCUGGCGGCAGGCUUAACACAUGCAAGUCAAACGCCCCGCAGGGAGAGGUGGUGCAGACGGGUGAGUAACGCGUGGGAAUCUACCUAGUUCUACGGAACAACAGUUGGAACGACUGCUAAUACCGUAUACGCCCUAUGGGGAAAGGAUUAUCGGAAUUAGAUGAGCCCGCGUAAGAUUAGCUAGUUGGUGGGGUAAUGGCCUACCAAGGCGACGAUCUUUAGCUGGUCUGAGAGGAUGAUCAGCCACACUGGGACUGAGACACGGCCCAGACUCCUACGGGAGGCAGCAGUGGGGAAUAUUGGACAAUGGGCGCAAGCCUGAUCCAGCCAUGCCGCGUGAGUGAUGAAGGCCUUAGGGUUGUAAAGCUCUUUCAGUGGGGAAGAUAAUGACGGUACCCACAGAAGAAGCCCCGGCUAACUUCGUGCCAGCAGCCGCGGUAAUACGAAGGGGCUAGCGUUGUUCGGAUUUACUGGGCGUAAAGCGCACGUAGGCGGUUUGUUAAGUCAGAGGUGAAAUCCCGGAGCUCAACUCCGGAACUGCCUUUGAUACUGGCAAGCUAGAGUCCGGAAGAGGUAAGUGGAACUCCUAGUGUAGAGGUGGAAUUCGUAGAUAUUAGGAAGAACACCAGUGGCGAAGGCGGCUUACUGGUCCGGAACUGACGCUGAGGUGCGAAAGCGUGGGGA
rnacentral:rRNA from 1 species